UUUAAGAGAAUCAAAAUUGAACGAAAAAUGUGGUACAUAUUAACAGUUUUAAUUUUGUUAGUCCAUUCGGUAUUAACAAUUGAUUUAUUACCAUGUACGGAUGAAGUCAACCCAGCCGAGAUGGCUUUGGCACGGCGAUUGCUAGAACAAUCUACACCACCUGGAUAUAGAUUAAUCGAAGUAGAACCUAUUAGUCAAACAGGCAGGAACCCUCAUCGAUGGAUAGGGCAUUUUGAACGUCUAGAUGACGUUUACAAUACUGAUUGUCAUUACCUGGCUGCAGCGCGAUCGGCAUUCAGACAAUUGUGUCCCCUAGGAUCUGAAAUUAGCCAAAUUGGAGUUUGCCGUGACCCCCAGAAAAGAGCCAUAUUAGUACAGUAUCUAGUGAACUGCCGUUGCAGAAAGAUUAUCCGAAGAAGAAGUACUAGAUCAACAAUUCAAUAUGUAAGAGAAAGAUCCACAUGUUCGGGAAUAUCAAAUUAUCAUUCGUAUAAAUAUUAAAUAAAUAUUAUUAAAAUUA